rnacentral:rRNA from 1 species
AAUGAACGCUGGCGGCGUGCUUAACACAUGCAAGUCGCACGAGAACGCUUCUGCUUGCAGGGGCUAGUAAAGUGGCGCACGGGUGAGUAACGCGUGGGUAAUCUACCCUUGGAUUCGGGAUAACCCUUCGAAAGGAGUGCUAAUACCGGAUGAAGUCAUUUAGGCUGUGGUUUAGAUGAUGAAAGGUGGCCUCUCCGAGGAAGCUACCGUUUGGGGAUGAGCCCGCGUACCAUUAGCUUGUUGGUGGGGUAACGGCCUACCAAGGCGACGAUGGUUAGCUGGUCUGAGAGGAUGAUCAGCCACACUGGAACUGACACACGGUCCAGACUCCUACGGGAGGCAGCAGUGAGGAAUUUUGCGCAAUGGGGGGAACCCUGACGCAGCAACGCCGCGUGAGUGAAGAAGGCCUUCGGGUCGUAAAGCUCUGUCGAGUGGGAAGAACCUUCGUAUGUUGAAUAUGCAUACGGACUGACGGUACCACAGAAGGAAGCACCGGCUAACUCCGUGCCAGCAGCCGCGGUAAUACGGAGGGUGCAAGCGUUAUUCGGAAUUAUUGGGCGUAAAGAGCGCGUAGGCGGCUUUGCAAGUCAGGUGUGAAAUCCCGGGGCUCAACCCCGGAAGAGCAUUUGAUACUGUGGAGCUUGAGUAUGGGAGAGGGAAGUGGAAUUCCUGGUGUAGCGGUGAAAUGCGUAGAUAUCAGGAGGAACACCGGUGGCGAAGGCGGCUUCCUGGACCAAUACUGACGCUGAGGCGCGAAGGCGUGGGGAGCAAACA